GAAACUAGGUGUGAGGUUUGGGA
rnacentral:siRNA from 1 species